AUAUUCAUGGGGGUUCGUAGGGGUGUCCCCGCUACACGUGAAUCAUUUUUCUUAACAAUCUCAAUUACAGGACCGUCUCUAUACCCCGUCCGGUAUGAGGGCCAAGACAUUAAAUCUCAAUAUUCCGUCUGGUAUGAGGGUGAAGCGGGUCGUCCACAUACCCUGUUCGGUAUGAGUACCAAAUUACCAAGUCUCCAUAUCCCGUUCAGUAUGAGACAAGGUUCACGGUGGGGUUCUCUAUGUACCCGGUCCAUCCACCAUCUCCUAUGAUAUCUAGUAAGGCUGUCAUUCCAUAUGUUUAUUUGAUCACACCUCUUUCUUGUUUUCCUUUAGUCUCCAUUACCAAAUCAAAUAUAAUCAC
rnacentral:lncRNA from 1 species